UCCACCUCCUCAUCCCCACGAUCUUCUUCCACUCCUAUCUCCUUCCUCCCUCCGCGAUCGACUUCCAUGUCGCCGCUGACCACACCUUCGCCUUCGAUUGCUCCAUGAUCGACUUCCAACGCCGUUAAGCUCGCUUAGGUUAUCUCAUACGCAGACAGAUCUAAUGAAGUAAUCGAGAUCUAAGAGUUGUUCAUGAAGUGCACACUGGAUUCCAUAUUCAAAAUAGUUUGGGGUAGAACUGAGCACGCUGUCCGGAUCAAGCAAAGAAGGGAGGGCUUUCGCGAAGGCCUUCGAUGAUUCAAGUGCUUAAGUGCUUGUGAGCUACUUUGAUGUGAUCUGGAAAGUCAAGAGGUUUUUGAAUGUAGGCUCAGAAACCCAAAUCAAGAAGAACCUCAAAGCCAUCGAUAAUUUCGACUACAAACUGAUUGAUGCAAAGAUUCAACAGAAGUCUAAACCACCUUAACCAUCCUCUUCCUUCAGUCCUCAAGUCUCCCUUCAAGCUCCUUGAUGGCCCCAAGAGCUCCACCGCCAGAAACUCAGAUGAGAUCGCCAAGCUAUUUCCUAACCUAUUUGGUCAGCCAUCGGCAAAGCUGGUGCUGGCCGGCUCGGACCCUUCAGAUUUGCCCUCAAGCCUGAAGAUAUGGGGUUGUAUUGUCUAGUGGCCAAGCUCCAGGUGGACACAAUGUGAUAUCUAGGAUGUUUGAUGAGCCUCUAUUUCGUUAACAUCUCGUGCUUGAUCUUACUUAUUCUUAAUCGAGGGCUUCUUGUUUUAUUUUUGUCAUUGCCAAGCUAUACUUUAUAUUAAUUAUAGUCAUUGUAAUUCUAGUUAUUCCAUGACGAAGAAAUAGACAAAAUCUGUUAGAUAAAGCUCCAAUGCUAGUUUGGAAACUAAGAGCAUUUACUUAUGGAUGCGUUAUAAUUAUAUCAAAAUAAUGUGAUCAGCAAUUGGAUUGGUAACACUGUAGGAGUCUUAAUGUGUUAAUUAUAUAUGUAUAUUGUAGUUGUAUGCCUAUAGGAGUCUUAAUGUAUACUGUAGGAGUCUUAAUGUGUUAAUUAUGUAUGUUGUAGUUGUUUAGCAGAUCUACUAUGAAAUGAUAGAUGCUCGUUCAACUAGAAAAUAUUACCACUUUAAUCUCAUAAACUUCUUACAAUAAAUUGAUACUAAAUAGUUUUCCAAUGUAAAAUAAAGAAAACCUCAUAAGGUGGAGAAAGUAUUUUGGAAAUGUCUUUCUUAUCAUGUAUUGUAGUGUGCUUGUGGAUCGAAUUGCCUUAGAGUGGAGGCUGCUCUAUGGAAGGAUAUUCAAAAUAGUAGUAAUUCUUUUAGAAAAGAGUGCCCAGGUCUUGCUGUGGAAUAUGGGCAAAUCUCUGAAGCAUACAAGUAAGUCCUUCCAGGCUAAUGGUUUUCUUAUGUAGUCUUAUUGCCAAUGGUUAUUUCAAACUUGUGCAAUUUUCUUGUUGGCAAUACUUUACUUUGAAUGCAGCCAUUUGCAUCUUGACUUGUUUCUUUUCUACCUUUACAUUAGAUGUUGUGAGCUACAUUUUUUUAUGCUUAUUGCUUGAUUAUGCUCAUAACUAUUCAGAUAUAAAUUGCAGUAGCAUUUAUUCAUAGAAAUGUUUGAUAGCUGUACGUUGGCCAACAAUAUUGGUAUGCUAAUGUUUUUCAUUGUAUUAAAUAACUCAAUGAUGAAUGACUUAGAAGGGAUAUAUGUUGUCUAUUAAGAUAAAUCAUGAGCUAAUAGAAAAGUUGGAUUAAGAAAAACCUCUUGAGAAAUAAAUACUAGUAAAUGUGUCGAUGGACCAUUGGCAGGGCAUAGGUCUAUUUAGCCUUGGCCUAAUGUGACAUCACCUCUUGAGAAGUAAAUACUAGUAAUCAAAUAUAUUUGAUUACAUAUUGGCUUGUUAUUUCACCUAACAUACACCAUCCGUAUUUCAUUUAAUUAAUCUGCAGACAGCGGUUGUCAGCAAUCCAGUUAUGCUGCUUGAUGAAAUUGAUAAAAUGGGUUCUAAUAUCGAGGGGAUCCAACAUCCGCAUUGUUGGAAGUUCUUGAUCCCGAACAAAAUAAAACUUUCAAUGAUCAGUAUCCUCAAUUAUGCUACUUGCUAAAUUUCUAUUAUGUACAACUUCCCUACUAGCUGGAAGGAUACAUUUAGUAAAAUACUAUUUAAAUGAGUGUCUUUUCAAUUCUCAUGUUAAUCUAAUUAUUUCUUAAUUGCUUUAUUGCAAAAAUUCCAUAACUUGUUUUUCAGUUAUUUGAAUGUUCCUUUUUAUCUAUCAAAGGUAAUUUUUGUUGCAACUGCAAAAAGAAUUCAACCCUCCUCCACUCUUAGAUCGAAUGAAAGUCAUUGAGUUUCUUGGCUAUACACCUGAAGAAAAACUAAAGAUAGCUCUCAAGCAUCUUACACCACGAGUCUUAAAGCAGCAUGGAAUAAACUCUUAGUUCCUUCAAAUUCCUGAGGCAUAUUUUCAUCAAAUUUAAUUUUGUUAGAUUAGAAACAAACUUCUUCAAAUACUAAAAUUUUUAUUAAGGUAUCUAGUAUGAAAGUUUUAACAAUUUUAGGCAUAAAAAUGUUUUUGCUCACUAGAAAUCAAACUAUUUAAUAGUUUCUUUUAUAGUUUGGAUCUUCUUUAGUAGCAUAUGACAAAGAUGAUACUACUAGUAAUUCCGCAUUAAAAAUUCUAGUUUUUCUUUAUGUUCUCUAGUAGAAUUCUAAUUAUGUAAAAACAAGUCAUUUGAAUAGUAACAUAACUUUUUUAAUCACUUAGAAUGUACAUGGAACUUAAAUCACGUGCCGAUUUGCAAAUAUGUAUCCCAUAGGUAGAGAUAAAAUGCUUAGUUUGUUCAUGAAGACAAGAAAACUUGAGCACGCCUAUUUAUUUGUAGAUUAUGUAAAUAUGUGAUUAAAGGUCAGAUAAAAUUUGGCAUGAAUAAAUGUAUGUGUGUAUAAUAAUAUCAUUUUAUGACUUUUUUGUUGUCUAUUUCACAAAAGUUCCUAUGAUUCACAAAGUCUUAAUCAGCCCAUAUAUCUGGAAUAUCACGCAUGACUUCUAGUUGUCCAUGCACUAUGCUCCUUAUUAGUCUAAUUUAAAGGUACAUUUAUGAUCUUCUGGAGUACCAUUAGGAAAAUGUUGUGAAUAUUUAUUAUAACUUUUCCUUGUAUAUUAGACUACAUAUUUGAUGAGUAGGAAAUUUAGGUAUUGAAACUCUUUUUGUAUCCUCUUAAUGUUUCUUAAGAAAAAUGUAAAUAUAUCCUCUUUACCCCAACCAUAUAUAGAUUCAAGUCCAAAAAUUAAACCCAGGUUGAAUAAAUAUUGAUUUCAGAUAUGAUGAAUGACUUGAUCUGAUCCGAAUAUUAGAUCUAGGUUGAAUAAAUAUUGAUUUUAGAUAGGAAGAUGAUGCAUGACUUGCUUUGAUGAUUUAAGAUUUGAACAUAGGUUAAACUCACCCAAUAGUUUUAUCUGUCCUCUCAAUAACUAUCUGCAACUAGAAACAAUCAUGAAUCACUGAAAUUUUCUAUAUUCAUAUAAAUAAUAUAUUCUCAUUGGAUAGAUUACAAAUAAUUGAAGGUUCGAGCAACCUUGUUUAGUGUACAAGGUUUUUCAUGGAGUUUUCAAAGUUAAAAAAAAACAAGCUAAUAGAUAACGGUUUUAAAAAACUAUUGUCUUUGACAUAUAUAAGACAACAGUUUUUAAAAAAUCAUUGUCUUUGACAUAUAUAAAAAAAUAAUUUUUUAAAAAUUAUUGCAAUGACAAUAGUUUUCAAUAAAAUCAUUGUUAAAUAAAAAAAUAAUAAUUUUUCAAAAAAUCGUUGUCUAUUAGGUGUUGUUGAAUCCUAAAUUUCUUGUAGUGAAUGUCACAUAGGGCUCUAAAAUUACUAUCAAGUGUGUUACAAAUGAUCUCAAUGCCUUUAUUUUGUAUUUGUUGAUUAACUUAGUUUCAAAACAUCCCACUGAUUAAAUAGAGUCAAAUAAUUAUUGCCCAUCUCUCUUUGCUUUCCUUUCUUGCAAUUUCAGGCACACAUUUGCCACUUUAUCCCUUUUUAUUUCUUUAUGUUGGAAUGGAUGCAUUGGACAUCGAAAAAUGGAGGUUUGUUAAUAGCUGAUAUGGUUUGGAAAAAAACAUUGCAGGUGUCUUGAUAUGAAACAAGUUCAUGAAAUUUGUAGGACUCAUGAUAAAACCAUAAACACCUACAAGUACUAAUAAUAUAGGACUUAAUCUACUGCACCUAAUACCUAAUAACAUUUCUGAUUCUCUUUCCUCCAACUAAUAUUGAUUCUAAUGUAACAUUCAUGUACUUCUUUUAGCCCUGGGAAAUUAGUUUAGAUCAGCUCAAUCUUGUUAGGGCUAGUUUUGGUUAGUCGAGCUGCUUUUGUAUCUCCAUUCUCAUUUCUAUCCAACCUAACAAAGAAAUCUCUAGAUGAUAGAAUCAUUUUCAAACAACAAGUGUGUAUAAAAUCAUUUUCACUAAGUUCAUUAGAUUGAUUCAGUAAUAAUUUCAUACAAAUUUAGAUAGAUUACAAUAUGGUGGGUAGGUCUCAUGAGAGGUGCAGUGUCCAUAACACUUGCUUAUAAUCAGGUUAUCAAAUUUGAAGUUUUUUUUAUAUAUUUUUUCAUGAUAGAUCAAUUAAUAUUAAAUAAGGAGGCAUAAAUGCUUUCCCUGAUUUAUUAUAUGUCUAGUUCAAUCAAAAUAGUAAUGUUACAUUAUAAUACAUUUUUAUAUAUUCAACUGACGUUUAGCAUGAAUUUUUUGUCACACUGCAAUUCUUUUGAUAAUCUAAUUCAAAUAGAUGAUUUGAUGAACGAAGGUAUUUUCAAUUUUCAUUUAAUUUAAUAAAUUUUGAUAGUAUAUCUCUAUUGAACUUACAGUUUGCAAGAUCUGGACACACCCAACUGCGAGCAAAUGCAAUUAUGAUCACUAGAACUAUCUUUGUUGUGCUCUUCAGCACUAUGGUUUUUGGAUUGAUGACAAAGUCACUCUUGAGAUUCUUAUUGUCGCAUAAUCCAAAGCACUUCAGCAACAUGUCCGUUAAUCAAUCAACCCCCAAAUCUCUCCUAUUGUCGUUCAUGGAGAAUGGACAGGAUUCGGAAGAUGAAAUAGGGGAACAUAUAGCUCAACCAUCCAAUCUUAGACUACUCCUCACAAAACCAACUCACACGGUACAUCUCCAUUAGCAGAAGUUCGAUGAUGCAUUCAUGCAUCCAUUUUCUUGAGGAUGCAAUAGAAAGUAUAGUCGCUGGUUAUUUAAGUUUAUAGUUUGGUAUGACUGAUAUAGAUUUUAUUUAUUUUAAAGUCAUAUACUCUUUUGUAGGAAAGAAAUUAUGUUACUAAGUGAAUUUUUUGUUACUAGUUUGGAUUUUUUUACUUAAGUGUGAUGUUUAUGGUUGAAUGUGAUAUUAUAAUUGCUUGAGUUUGAUUGGAUAAUUAUGUGUA